rnacentral:rRNA from 1 species
AGAGUUUGAUCCUGGCUCAGAUUGAACGCUGGCGGCAUGCCUUACACAUGCAAGUCGAACGGUAACAGGUCUUCGGAUGCUGACGAGUGGCGAACGGGUGAGUAAUACAUCGGAACGUGCCCGAGAGUGGGGGAUAACGGAGCGAAAGCUUUGCUAAUACCGCAUACGAUCUACGGAUGAAAGCAGGGGACCGCAAGGCCUUGCGCUCAUGGAGCGGCCGAUGGCAGAUUAGGUAGUUGGUGGGAUAAAAGCUUACCAAGCCGACGAUCUGUAGCUGGUCUGAGAGGACGACCAGCCACACUGGGACUGAGACACGGCCCAGACUCCUACGGGAGGCAGCAGUGGGGAAUUUUGGACAAUGGGCGCAAGCCUGAUCCAGCCAUGCCGCGUGCAGGAUGAAGGCCUUCGGGUUGUAAACUGCUUUUGUACGGAACGAAAAGACUCUGGAUA